GGUCCCAGUUCGGAUCGUAGGCUGCAACCCGCCUGCGUGAAGUUGGAAUUGCUAGUAAUCGCGGAUCAGCAUGCCGCGGUGAAUACGUUCCCGGGCCUUGUACACACCGCCCGUCACACCAUGGGAGCCGGUAAUGCCCGAAGUCAGUAGCCUAACCGCAAGGAGGGCGCUGCCGAAGGUAGGAUUGGCGACUGGGGUGAAGUCGUAACAAGGUAUC
rnacentral:rRNA from 1 species